CACAGCUCUGGAAUAGCUUCCUAUCAUCCCCCAUAACUGAGGACUGCAAGCUUCUCCUUUGCUGCUGCAAGCUUUGGUCCCACUGCAGAGCAUCUCUCAAAUAAGUGUGUGCUCAGCCACCAAGGCAGGCCUCAACCUGAGCUUUUAGGCUGGGACUGUGAGCUGAGGUCCCCAGGAGCUGGAGAAGCCUGGAUCCAGUGUGAUAUUAGUGUCUCUGUGCAAGGUGCAGCAGGAGGGAGGUGGUGAGGUGGGAGACAGCCUCUCUUCCCAGCACCUGGCAGGAUGGUGAGAGUGAGCCCUGCCACCCCAGGCAGCCAAAUGUGACAGUACUGUCACUGCUCCAAGGGGUCUGCAGAAGCUGCCUUUGGUCUUUGGAAAACAAAUGCCACAAUCUUAGGAGGCUGCAGGAAUCUGAGCAGUUCUUCAGAGUAUUUGGUUUAGUGUGCAGUAUGCUGAAGUGGCAUUAUCUUCACUUCACUGGUAAGAAGAUUUACAUCCACACAAAGCCAGACUGGAAGGUCUGGGGUAAGGGCUGGGUCCAGAGCUGCAGAUGUGGUGAUUACCAGCUGCCUGCUUAUGGUGGUAGCUUGAGUGGAUCUGUCUCACCCCAGAGUGACCCUGAAGGUCGGGCACCUUUAGAGGCACCUUUUUAUUUCAGCUUUGGCUAAACCUCACUGAAUGUAGGGGGUUGUAUUGGCCCUAGCUAGAGGCUACCCUUCACUUUAGAUAACAGAGCAGAUAAGCUUCCUUAGGAAACCAGAGGGGCUGCAAACUGAAAA